CUAGUACUCCCUCCAUCCGGAAAUAUUUGUCAUCAAAAUGAAUAAAAGGGGAUGUAUUUAGAUGUAUUUUAGUUCUAAAUACAUCCCUUUUUGUCCAUUUUGAUGACAAGUAUUUUCGGACGGAGGGAGUAUCUG
rnacentral:pre_miRNA from 1 species